rnacentral:lncRNA from 1 species
GAAGAACCCUCGGGGAAUGUCUGCAUUGAUAUAAACAGGAAAGAGUUUUCAUUUAAUGAAUCACUAGAUUGUCAGUGAUACCUUGUCACAGAUAUUAUGGAGCAAUUGUGAAGUUCUUGCCCUGAAUUUCAUACCCCCAUGACUGGAAAAUUUCAACCUGGGGAUUUGUAAGAGUGCUCCUAGGAUGUACAAGCAAUGGAGCAGAGGGACAGGAAACUGGAAGAAGGCCAUGGACGUGCACUGAGUCGCUUUCCGUGAGUUUCUCCUGCUCUGAACAGUGUAAAGAGCUCAAGGGGAGCCCUGGGAUUGCUAGCGUGGCAACUGCAAAUUCAUGGAUGAGAGACACAAGGACAAAGGGAGGACAACUGUCACUCUGCUGAGGUUUCCCUUUUCCAAGAUUUUCAUAGCGACAAAACUUUGACCUAAUUACUUUGUUAUUAAAAGAAGGACUUCAGGGAACAGGAAGGAUAAAUAAAUACUGAAGCUCAUGAGUCCA